CUGCCUUCCACAGGAUGCCAA
rnacentral:misc_RNA from 1 species